UACAGAGGGUGCGAGCGUUAAUCGGAAUUACUGGGCGUAAAGGGCGCGUAGGCGGGAUGGCAAGUCGGACGUGAAAUCCCUCGGCUCAACCGAGGAACGUCGAUCGAUACUGCUGUUCUUGAGGAUUGCAGAGGAGACUGGAAUUCCCGGUGUAGCGGUGAAAUGUGUAGAGAUCGGGAGGAACACCGGUGGCGAAGGCGGGUCUCUGGGCAAUUCCUGACGCUGAGGCGCGAAAGCGUGGGGAGCAAACGGG
rnacentral:rRNA from 1 species